rnacentral:rRNA from 1 species
CGCCCAGACUCCUACGGGAGGCAGCAGUGGGGGAUAUUGCACAAUGGGGGGAACCCUGAUGCAGCGACGCCGUGUGGGUGAAGAAGCGCCUCGGCGCGUAAAGCCCUGUCAGCAGGGAAGAAAAUGACGGUACCUGAAGAAGAAGCCCCGGCUAACUACGUGCCAGCAGCCGCGGUAAUACGUAGGGGGCAAGCGUUAUCCGGAUUUACUGGGUGUAAAGGGGGCGCAGACGGCGAUGCAAGCCAGGAGUGAAAGCCCGGGGCCCAACCCCGGGGCUGCAUUGGGAACUGCCAGGCUGGAGUGCCGGAGAGGCAGGCGGAAUUCCUAGUGUAGCGGUGAAAUGCGUAGAUAUUAGGAGGAACACCAGUGGCGAAGGCGGCCUGCUGGACGGUGACUGACGCUGAGGCUCGAAAGCGUGGGGAGCAAAUAGGAUUAGAUACCCUAGUA